CGAAAAUCAGUCAAUAAUAUCACAACUUUUUGAACAGUUGAACUCGUCUAGCCUUCCUUAUAGCAAAAAAUGGUCAAAUCGAUUCUUAUGAUUUUGAUGGUGUCUUUGGUGCUGCUGGCAAUUGUCAACGAGUUCGGUGGGCUCGUGAAUGGACAGUGCCAUUCAUCCCUAGGCAACUGUUGUCGUUGGCGUUGCGAUGGCGCUGUGAACUGUCGUUGCACAUCUUUCUUUGCUGCAAACUGCGGUGCACCAGACGGGUGUGGUAGAGGAUAACCCUAACCGAAAUAGUAAUUCAUCACUUGUUUUUCAUGCAACCGAACUGGACCGAAUUUGUUAUCCGACCAAGAUUAUCCGAAACAACUACAGAAUUUGAAUAAUGGGAAAAAAAUUAGAAAAUCCAAGUCUGUCCUAUCUAAAUCUUCUGGUUUCAAUUAACCCGAGCAAUAUUUGUAUAAUUGUGGAUAUAUUCAAAUAAUCCGCUUGAAUAUAUAUUCAACCUUCCAACUCUGAUAAUACACAUCAUACAAAUGCUCA